ACAUAAGACAUGCAAGUCGAACGGAGAUCGUGUAAAACGGAUUGAAGAUUUAUCAGAUUGAAGUUUUACACAAUGGUCUUAGUGGCGGACUGGUGAGUAACACGUGAGCAACCUGCCUAUCAGAGGGGAAUAACAGUGAGAAAUCAUUGCUAAUACCGCAUAUGCUGACAGUAUCGCAUGAUAUAGUCAGGAAAGGAGCAAUCCGCUGAUAGAUGGGCUCGCGCCUGAUUAGCUAGUUGGUGGGGCAAUGGCCUACCAAGGCAACGAUCAGUAGCCGGACUGAGAGGUUGAACGGCCACAUUGGGACUGAGAUACGGCCCAGACUCCUACGGGAGGCAGCAGUCGGGAAUAUCGCGCAAUGGAGGAAACUCUGACGCAGUGACGCCGCGUGCAGGAAGAAGGUUUUCGGAUUGUAAACUGCUUUAGACAGGGAAGAAACAAGACAGUACCUGUAGAAUAAGCUCCGGCUAACUACGUGCCAGCCGCAGC
rnacentral:rRNA from 1 species